AGGUCCCAAAGUCAUGGUUAAGUGGGAAACGAUGUGGGAAGGCCCAGACAGCCAGGAUGUUGGCUUAGAAGCAGCCAUCAUUUAAAGAAAGCGUAAUAGCUCACUGGUCGAGUCGGCCUGCGCGGAAGAUGUAACGGGGCUAAACCAUGCACCGAAGCUGCGGCAGCGAACGUAUCACUUAAAGCGAUUCAGCGGGUUACGAUUGACGGAGCGAAGCGACGUCAAAGCGUAUACAAAGUCGAGUCGGUUUAAGGAUACGUUCGUUGGGUAGGGGAGCGUUCUGUAAGCCUGCGAAGGUGGCCUGUGAGGGUUGCUGGAGGUAUCAGAAGUGCGAAUGCUGACAUAAGUAACGAUAAAGCGGGUGAAAAGCCCGCUCGCCGGAAGACCAAGGGUUCCUGUCCAACGUUAAUCGGGGCAGGGUGAGUCGACCCCUAAGGCGAGGCCGAAAGGCGUAGUCGAUGGGAAACGGGUUAAUAUUCCCGUACUUGGUGUUACUGCGAAGGGGGGACGGAGAAGGCUAUGUUGGCCGGGCGACGGUUGUCCCGGUUUAAGCGUGUAGGUGUGUGUUCCAGGUAAAUCCGGUUCACUUUAACACUGAGGCGUGANGACGAGGCACUACGGUGCUGAAGCAACAAAUGCCCUGCUUCCAGGAAAAGCCUCUAAGCAUCAGGUAACAUCAAAUCGUACCCCAAACCGACACAGGUGGUCAGGUAGAGAAUACCAAGGCGCUUGAGAGAACUCGGGUGAAGGAACUAGGCAAAAUGGUGCCGUAACUUCGGGAGAAGGCACGCUGACACGUAGGUGAAGUGAUUUACUCAUGGAGCUGAAGUCAGUCGAAGAUACCAGCUGGCUGCAACUGUUUAUUAAAAACACAGCACUGUGCAAACACGAAAGUGGACGUAUACGGUGUGACGCCUGCCCGGUGCCGGAAGGUUAAUUGAUGGGGUCAGCGCAAGCGAAGCUCCUGAUCGAAGCCCCGGUAAACGGCGGCCGUAACUAUAACGGUCCUAAGGUAGCGAAAUUCCUUGUCGGGUAAGUUCCGACCUGCACGAAUGGCGUAAUGAUGGCCAGGCUGUCUCCACCCGAGACUCAGUGAAAUUGAACUCGCUGUGAAGAUGCAGUGUACCCGCGGCAAGACGGAAAGACCCCGUGAACCUUUACUAUAGCUUGACACUGAACAUUGAGCCUUGAUGUGUAGGAUAGGUGGGAGGCUUUGAAG
rnacentral:rRNA from 1 species